UGGUUGGUUAAAAAAGUACUUUUAAAGCCGUAUGAGUCGUAAGAGAAAUUUGAAAAGAUCGCUGGAUAAAAAAUUCAUGCUAGACGCUGAUAGGCCUAAGAUUACCGAACCACAGAAACUGCAUAGUACUAUAUAACACAUUUCCUUAAAGCUUCGGGUUUUAGACCUAUUAAGGAAAAGUGUAUCACUAACAUGAUAAACUUCAUAAUACAAUAAGGAUAUAUUUGUUUGAAAAAUGUUGAUGUGGGUUGGAGCGAGUUGUAACUUAUUGCGCAUCUGGAAUAUCUUUUGUUUACCCAUAUUUCAGUGUCGCACGGUUAGCGGGAGAAGGCGAACUGCCGUAAAAUUUUCUAACCACUCUGGUACUGCCUAUUGUGUUGAGUGGUGUUGGCUGGUGGUGACAGGUGUUAUUCUUAUGGAUGUAAACACAAGAAUGAAGUCAGUGACAUGUAAGGCCGGCAAGUGAUGGGAUAUUGGUGUUUGGCAAUCUCCUACUGGGGUUCAAGGCCUAUGAUAGUGAGGCCAUUGAAGUUGAAACCUAUAGUUUGCAAUAAAAACUGUUACUACUUAUGGUCCAUCCUUGAACAUCCCAGUACAUUUCAACUUCAACCGCCAUGGGUGUGCAAGAGGAACUCGUCGCCCUGAAGAGGAAGAGGGCAAUCAACAAAGGGAAGUUCACCAGGAAGUGUCGCACGGUUAGCGGGAGAAGGCGAACUGCCGUAAAAUUUUCUAACCACUCUGGUACUGCCUAUUGUGUUGAGUGGUGGUGGCUGGUGGUGACAGGUGUUAUUCUUAUGGAUGUAAACACAAGAAUGAAGUCAGUGACAUGUAAGGCCGGCAAGUGAUGGGAUAUUGGUGUUUGGCAAUCUCCUACUGGGGUUCAAGGCCUAUGAUAGUGAGGCCAUUGAAGUGAGUGCAAUACAGUGUAUUAUGGAUGUUGUAUGAUAUUUCAAUUGGAAUUGCCCUUAUUGGUAAUUGGAUUCUAUGUAUAUAUACAGUAAUGCUUUAUGAUAUGAGUACAUUUAAUUUGAUGCCAAGUGCUUUAGUGGCUACAGUACCAUAAUUUACAGUGUUAUUUACUUACAUUGCUAUAAACAGUUAUUGUUAGACAUACACAUAUCAAUACUGGAUUGUUCAUGUACUUUGCUAGAAGGCUUGUAUUAAGGACAAAUAUUUUUUUUGAUAAUGAAAUUGGGAAAAUUAGGGAAAAUUCAAAAUUUGUAUGGCUGGUUGGAUUGUAUU